rnacentral:rRNA from 1 species
UACGAGGGGGGCGAGCGUUGUUCGGAAUUAUUGGGCGUAAAGGGUGCGUAGGCGGCCUGACAAGUCUGAUGUGAAAUCCCUGGGCUCAACCCAGGGCCUGCAUCGGAAACUGUCGGGCUUGAGUAUGGGAGAGGUGAGUGGAAUUUCCGGUGUAGCGGUGAAAUGCGUAGAUAUCGGAAGGAACACCUGUGGCGAAAGCGGCUCACUGGACCAUUACUGACGGUCGAGGCAGCGAAAAGCUAGGGGAGCAAACAGGAUUAGAAAACCCUA